GCCUUCGACAAAAGGCGUCAGUGCCCCCUUAAGGGUUAUCACCUUAAGGCUUAAGGCUUGGAUGCCUCAUCAAACACGAAAAGUUACCGUUGGCGUCGCCGGCGCAAAAAAAUCAUCUAGUGACGUCAGCAUGACGUACGUCACAGAUGGCUAAAUUUGUGAAGUCAUCGUGAAGCCACUGUGACGUCACAUAACGUGCCGCCACGUGAUGACGUGAUCACGCGAAAUUAUCGCUUGGUCAAAGGUGGGCCGAACCCGGAGGCACUGCAAUACAACGUGAAUUGCAAAAAGCUUCCAACGCCUCCGAUCCCUGAGGCAGCGCAAGACCACGUUAGGUGCAGAACGCUUUAUGGGUCGAUACACUCGACUGAGUAUAAAAAGAAGAAAAUGUAGACGAACAUCGCUUUCGUCUUUGAGUCACCUUAGGUACAAGCAUAACGGACCGCGUGACUUACCCCAUCAUGGGAUCUGGCCGUAUGUCCCCUU
rnacentral:lncRNA from 1 species